UACGUAGGUGGCAAGCGUUGUCCGGAAUUAUUGGGCGUAAAGCGCUCGCAGGUGGUUCGUCGCGUCGUGCGUGAAAGACCCCGGCUCAACUGGGGAGGGUCGUGCGAUACGGGCGGACUGGAGGCCAGUAGGGGGAUGCGGAAUUCCGGGUGUAGUGGUGGAAUGCGUAGAGAUCCGGAGGAACACCAGCGGCGAAGGCGGCAUCCUGGACUGGUCCUGACACUCAGGAGCGAAAGUGUGGGGAGCGAACAGG
rnacentral:rRNA from 1 species